UACGUAGGGGGCUAGCGUUGUUCGGAAUUACUGGGCGUAAAGCGUACGUAGGCGGCUUUGUAAGUUAGAGGUGAAAGCCCGGGGCUCAACUCCGGAAUUGCCUUUAAGACUGCAUCGCUUGAAUCAUGGAGAGGUUAGUGGAAUUCCGAGUGUAGAGGUGAAAUUCGUAGAUAUUCGGAAGAACACCAGUGGCGAAGGCGACUCGCUGGACAGACAUUGACGCUGAGGUGCGAAAGCGUGGGGAGCAAACAGG
rnacentral:rRNA from 1 species